rnacentral:rRNA from 1 species
ACUCAAAUGAAUAGACGGGGGCCCGCACAAGUGGUGGAGCAUGUGGUUUAAUUCGACGCUACGCGAAGAACCUUACCCGGGUUUGAAUUGCAAUGGUUGUAGUCAGCAGAGAUGUUGGCGACCCCGCAAGGGGGCUGUUGUGAAGGUGCUGCAUGGCUGUCGUCAGCUCGUGCCGUGAGGUGUUGGGUUAAGUCCCGCAACGAGCGCAACCCUUGUCCUUAGUUGCCAGCGCGUAAUGGCGGGCACUCUGUGGAGACUGCCGUCAUAAGACGGAGGAAGGUGGGGAUGACGUCAAGUCAGCAUGGCCCUUACGUCCGGGGCUACACACGUGCUACAAUGGCCGGUACAACGGGCAGCGAGACCGCGAGGUGGAGCGAAUCCCUUUAAAGCCGGCCUCAGUUCGGAUUGCAGGCUGCAACUCGCCUGCAUGAAGUUGGAAUCACUAGUAACCGCAGAUCAGCUACGCUGCGGUGAAUGCGUUCCCGGGCCUUGUACACACCGCCCGU